CAGUAGCCGCGGUAAUGCGUAGGUGGCAAGCGUUGUCCGGAAUUAUUGGGCGUAAAGGGCUCGCAGGCGGUUUCUUAAGUCUGAUGUGAAAGCCCCCGGCCCAACCGGGGAGGGUCAUUGGAAACUGGAAAACUUGAGUGCAGAAGAGGAGAGUGGAAUUCCACGUGUAGCGGUGAAAUGCGUAGAGAUGUGGAGGAACACCAGUGGCGAAGGCGACUCUCUGGUCUGUAACUGACGCUGAGGAGCGAAAGCGUGGGGAGCGAACAGGAUUAGAUACCCCAGUAGUCCCUGUCUCUUAUAC
rnacentral:rRNA from 1 species